AGAAUCUUUCGCAAUGCCCGAAAGGGUGACGAAGCGACGCCGCGUGUGGGAAGAAGGCCUUCGGGUUGUAAACCACUGUCGGGAGUUAAGAAAUGUAAGGAUGUUAAUAGCGUCCUUGCUUGACUAAGGCUCCGGAGGAAGCCACGGCUAACUCUGUGCCAGCAGCCGCGGUAAUACAGAGGCGGCAAGCGUUGUUCGGAAUUAUUGGGCGUAAAGAGCACGUAGGCGGCCUUGAAAGUCAGUUGUGAAAGCCUUCUGCUUAACGGAAGAACAGCAUCUGAUACUACAGGGCUUGAGUGCGGGAGGGGAGAGUGGAACUUCUGGUGGAGCGGUGAAAUGCGUAGAUAUCAGGAGGAACGCCGGCGGCGAAGGCGGCUCUCUGGCCCGUAACUGACGCUGAGUGUGCGAAAGCUAGGGGAUCAAACGGGAUUAGAUACCCCGGUAGUCCUAGCCGUAAACGAUGGGCACUAAGUAGAGGGGUUUUGAUUAUCUCUCUGCCGGAGCUAACGCAUUAAGUGCCCCGCCUGGGAAGUACGGCCGCAAGGCUAAAACUCAAAAGAAUUGACGGGGGCUCGCACAAGCGGUGGAGCAUGUGGCUUAAUUCGAUGCAACGCGAAGAACCUUACCGGGGUUUGACAUGGUAGAAGUAGGAACCAGAAAUGGUAACGAACGGUAUCCAGUCCGUAACUAUCACAGGUGUUGCAUGGCUG
rnacentral:rRNA from 1 species